AAUAGCCCUGGCUCAACCUGAGCAUUUGCUGCAGUGUUUUAGGCUGCUCAACUGACUUGUUCUAGUACCUUUUUCUUAAAAAACCACUGCCCUUUGAACUUCAGUUCUUUCAAGUGUAAAACAGGAGGAGGAUCAUAAACUUGGAGCUUGCUAAAUCUCAAAGUGAAAAGUCAUAUUAAAAUUUAAUCCUCAUUGUGAGGUAUUAGGCAGGUGGAAUCUUAAUCCCACUAUGGUAAUUGGAGGUGUGACCUUUGGGAGGCAAUUAAGGUUAAAUGGGGUUGUAAGGGUGGGGCCCUCAUCCAAUGAGGCUGUAGAUUUAUAAGACAAGGAGGAGGAUGUUCUGUGCUGCCAGGUGAUGCCCUGCACUGCAGUGGGACUUUGCAGAGUCCCCACCAGCAAGGACUCACCAGAUGCAGCUGCCUGACCUAGGACUUCAAAGCCUUUACAACUGAAACAGGAAGAGAAUGAAAGGAGGGCUCUGAAUACCGGACACCUGUGCAGCGUAGAGCAGUCCCAGACAAGGAUGGGGGAAUGAGGGGAUGCUCCAUUCUGAUGUGUGGAAGCAGAAGCCCUUGGCCCAUAUGGUCAAGAAGAGAAGGGUUUCCAACUCACAGGGUUUUCUGUGGAUGUGCGUGGGCCUAUAGAGCACCACCAGGAUGGCUGAGACACUGGGGUCUGGUGUUGUUCAUGCAGAUGGCAUAUUUGGAGUCUGCAGAAGAACCAGAGGGAUGGCUUAUGGUCAUCUGGCCCUGUAGAUUCUUUACCGUCAGUUAUAGUUAGGAUCUGGAAUGUCCUGCAAAGAUCCAAAUGUUCUGGAGCAUGGAAGUCCAAAACAAAGGUGUGAAGAGGAAGACACACUCUCUGAAGGCUUUAGCAGACAAUGCAUCCCUGCAGUCUGGGCUUCUGGUGGCUGUUGGCCUUCCCUGUGGGCUGAAGUCAAUUUAGUUCCUUUCUGUUUCCCACUGAGCUUUUUCUUCUCUUUGUGCCUCCCUGGGUGCCUCCCGUCAUGGGGCUUACGGCUUGAGUGGAUAGUUGAAGAUGAUCUCAAAAUCUUUAAAUUCUUUACAUCUACAAAAAAGACCCCAUUCCCAAAUAAGGUCAUACUCAUAGUUUUGGGAGGUGAGAAUAUGAGCAUGUGCUUUUAUGGGCCAUUAUUCAACCCACUGGAUAGAAUAAGCAUAGGGGGUGCCCCAGGCUCCUUCUGCCUGAGUUACCUGAGUUCAUGCAGUGGGGUUUGUGGAAGGUCUCAGGUCAAGUGAGCCUUCCUCCGAGCCCCGCAAUAUGUCAAGUUAUCGCCCCAAAGCGACUGCUGCUUUGUUUUUCUCUCCUGAUCCCCUCUUUGCCUCUUGCUCUGCCUCCCAAUUAAAAUAGCACCAACCUUACUUCAGGUCCUGGUGGUCCAAUACUGAGAUGAGGUCCUGUCCAU